rnacentral:lncRNA from 1 species
GGGAUACCAUAAGGCCCUUACUACAGAGGUACUAUGGGGGCAAAUGUAAUGAUGGCUUUUAUCUAGUUUGAAUUUUUUUAUGUUUAUCUUAAACUUUUGAUUGGUUUUGAUACAGGAUUUUGCUGUGUUAACCCCAAACUCUGUUCAUCCUCAGACUCCUCCAGGGAUCAAUGUGAAACAUUUGCUUUUAUGUUUUUAAGACAGGGUCUAAUAGAGCCCAGAUUGGUCUAAGACUCACUAUGUAACUAAGGGUGGCCUUGAACUCCUGUUUCUCUUUCAGCUGCCUUCUAAAUGCUGGAAUUACAAAUGGGGACCAUAAUCAAUGCCUUUCUCUUAGUUUCAAAAAUUUUAAAAUUACUAUUAUUCUCUAAGCUUUUCAGUAGAUUAACAUUGGCUGCAAGAGGCAGGAGCGUACAGAGAUUCUCAGUGCACGCACUUAAGGAGUGGGGUUGAGACCAGCUGCACCCCGUUCACUUUACUUGGUUCUUGUACAGUUAUUAUUUUGGUCCGAUCUUAAAAUGUGGUGGGGAGAAGGAAGUGCUCAUAAACAGAAUCAUGAUUAAGAAUCAAAAGACUGAUCAUGGUCGGCAGAGGAAGGCAGAGCUCUGUGAGUUCCUGGCCAUCCCAGGCUACCGAGUAAGACCCCGUCUCGAGAAAGAAAGAAACCUAACAAGCUCACACUGGGGCUUGUAGUAUUGCUCAGUUUGUAGAGUUCUGGCCUAGCCUGCACGAAGUCUCUGUUCAGCCUCCACCCAGCACCCUAUAAAGCAGUCACCAUGGCAUAUGUGCCUAAAAUCCCACAACUCCCGAGGUAGAAGCUAGAGGUUAGAAGUUCAAGGUUAUCCCUUGAUUAUGUAGCACAUUUGAAUCUAUUUCUCAGUACAUGAGAAUUUAUGUAAAAGGAUAAAGAGAGUGAAAUCUGGAACUGUAUGUCAAACUGUGGAGAAUGUGGUAGAACACAUGUCAGAAGAGUGGCUGAGAGCCAACUAGCCCUGCAGUGACUAGAGAGGCAUGUGCCUCCCUUUCAGAAAGACUCUGCUGCACCUGAUCCUGACGCCUUGUUUGCGUCUGACUCCAGUUCCCUCUCCCUAUGCCUGUCUGUCCUACCGUUCUUACAAUCAGUUUCACCGUGUUACUCUGAAUUCUCACUCUCCUAUGAGUUUGUCUGUCCUCCUUACGUCCCUUUUCCUUCUCAUGCCCACGUCAGAGCUGGGUGAAUGCUAGCCUGCCUCGUGGGACUCCUAGUCCCACACCCUAGGCUCUCUGCCAGCUUUUUGCUUUGCUUCCUGAGUUCUCAUGGGCAUUGUGAUCUCUCAUAAAAUCAAAAUGAAUUGUUUUUAGAAUUCAUGGUUUAGAAUUAACGUCACUUGUUUUAUUACAAUGACACAAACUUCAUUUAUAGUGCAGCUGAGUAUGGAGUGGCUGAGUCUUGGAUGUGCUAUUUUAGUUUAAGUAUGAAGAAAGCUUCUGCCAUUUGUGCUCUUCCUGGCUCUGCUUGCCUUAGGUCUGUUCUUUGUCAGUUGAUCCAGUGGGAGGCACAAGCAAGGGGCUGGAAGCAAGGGAGGAUAAAGUUCCCAGCCACCUCUCUGCCUCCCAGGACAUCUUUUCAGUAGGGACUGUGGCUCUACUGAUACCAGAAAAGCCUGCUGCAAUCCUGUUACCCACUGGUGACUCAACCCAGGGCAACAGUGAUGUCGUCUUUCCUCCCACUCCUCCGACCUGCACUGGGGCAAAUAGUUAAGGCUUUUUUUUUUCCUUUUUUUUAAAGGCCUUUUGUCUCAAGGGCCUUCUUGGUCCUUUGUCACUUCUCCUGGGAGUAGGCAAGUAUACCUACCACACACGCUGUAUGCAGAGCCCCUAUUAUUACUGGUAUUGCUACUUCCUGCUAUUAAUUUCUCUCAUUUAAAUUGUAGAUGGUUUCUGUUCUAAAGACUAAUUAACCAAAUCCUUGAAAAAGGAUUUAGAAGGGGUUGGGAGAGUAGGAAAGGAGAGAAAAGGGUAAGAGGUAAACUUAAAUACACAGAGAGGAUUAGAGAGAAGAGAGCAGCUGAUGUGCACUGCAGUUUGCCUGUGACCAGCCUCCUUCUCUCUUGACUCCACUUACAGGUGGUGUGGAGAUCCUGCCUUACUCAAGUCUUUGAAGCAGAAAAGUGCUGUGGUCAGGUUGGUUUUACUAUUUAAAUCUUUUCGAUAUAUCCAGAACUGUGUUUCUAAAAUGCUUGGCUGGUUUGCCUUAAUUCUAGCCUGUCCCCUUUAUUCUCAGUUCACUGUUUCCUGGAUAUCUGUUGGUCUUUGCCGCCAGAUAUCAGGUUUUUCCUACACUGAUUUUUUUCUCAGAAAUGGUUAUCCUUCCUUCUUAAAUUGUCAGAAGCCACCAGCUCCACUGGAGGAAUCAUCCUUGAAUUGGUACCUGCCUGUCAAAAGGCAACGGAGCUUGUGUCUGGGAGCUGCUGGUUUACUAAAGCCAGGAGGUGGUGGUUUACACUGUUCAUAUAAAUCAGUUUCCCCACCCUUUGAGAAUAACAAUAUAAAUAGAUCUGACAGUCUUCUCCCCUUCUUGUGUAUAUGCUUAGAAACUAGACCCCAUGCAUAUCUC